AUUGAACGCUGGCGGCAUGCCUUACACAUGCAAGUCGAACGGCAGCACGGGUGCUUGCCCCUGGUGGCGAGUGGCGAACGGGUGAGUAAUACAUCGGAACAUGUCCUGUAGUGGGGGAUAGCCCGGCGAAAGCCGGAUUAAUACCGCAUACGAUCCACGGAUGAAAGCGGGGGACCUUCGGGCCUCGCGCUAUAGGGUUGGCCGAUGGCUGAUUAGCUAGUUGGUGGGGUAAAGGCCUACCAAGGCGACGAUCAGUAGCUGGUCUGAGAGGACGACCAGCCACACUGGAACUGAGACACGGCCCAGACUCCUACGGGAGGCAGCAGUGGGGAAUUUUGGGCAAUGGGCGAAAGCCUGAUCCAGCAAUGCCGCGUGUGUGAAGAAGGCCUUCGGGUUGUAAAGCACUUUUGUCCGGAAAGAAAUCCUUGGCCCUAAUACAGUCGGGGGAUGACGGUACCGGAAGAAUAAGCACCGGCUAACUACGUG
rnacentral:rRNA from 1 species